rnacentral:lncRNA from 1 species
GUUUCAAUGAGCAAGGCAGAGGCAAAAAGCGAUGGUGGAGAAAUGGCAAGAGCAGUGGAAUAGAGAUACUUAGGCCAGGCAUUUAUUUUCAAGUACAGAGGAAAGUUGGGGAGAACGGCAGGAAGGGACAGAAGAGAGGAGGCUUUAUUUACACGAUUAAUGGUGGGACACAGCUAGUUGAAUAAGACCUUACAUGUGAUAGGAAAGCAUCCAACAGGACAAUUACAGUAGGUGGCGGUAAUGCACCAUAACGUUGGAUGCCAACCGCCGAUAAACCCCACCCUAGAAGAAGUAGAGCUGGCUGGAUGAUUUUCGUCGCUGGCGUUGGAAAGUCAAGCAGCCUCAAUGUUGUUGUGAAAGGUGCAGUGUCCAGUGGGCUAACUGGCAUAGCCUGCACAGAUGAGCAGCGACAAUGGAAUGCAGGGACUCGGAGGAACCUUGAGCCAAAGCGGUUAAACAGCAUUGACUUCACACACUAUAAGGCCAGUGACCAAUAUGCAGAAAAGCGUCCCCUGCCUCCCACUCCUGUAUUCCACUCACAGGAGGAAUUGAAUAGGAGCCUGAGACACCUGAAUCUGCCUGUGGGGAGUCUGCUCUAUAAGUGGGUUAAUGCUGAACCAACAAUAACAUCACAGCCAGUAGCAUCCCAGCUAAAAUUUGGACUGAAAGGAAUAUUUAUUUGUGGCUGUACCAUUUUAAUGUAUUUGAAGAUAAUGAGCUGAUGGCCUCCCAGUGGCUGGAAGACUGUGGAUACUCUGUGGACCACAGAGGCACUGUUGUCAGUGUUGAAGAGCCAUGGCUAUCAUCAAGCCCUGACAGAGUGCUGAACUCCAAGGAGCUGUUGGAGAUCAAGUGUCCUGUCAUGGGGAAGGCUUCUAGGGCCCUAUGAUUUCCGCGAUGUGGAAAACGAACAGAAUCGCAGAAUUUGGUAAUAAAAAUGGAAUCAACUGUAGAAUGUGGAAUUUUGCAGAAUUUGGCUGAAAUUGAUUUAAAAAAAAAUCUAAAGUAGGCCUAAUUAUUGUAGUAACGUAAAUUAUUUCAUAAUUAUAGACGAUUAUGCCUAGGAAAAUAGUGUCCAUGUAACCGGUCUCUGUCAUGUCAUCAAUCUGGUGGGUGAGACCUGGCAGCACUACAAAUACUUCUCUGUAGUUGCAUCACUUGUGACAUGGAUGAGAUCUGUCUUCUUCAAGAAGCCUGGCAGAAAGAGAAGAUGGGUGAUGACAGCUCUGUCACUCCUGGAAAGAACCCACCAUCCCACAGCAGUGUCUGCAUACAAUGACAUGGAGGAUCUGGGCUCUUACCUAGUGAAUGGAACAGCAAAAACAUGUGGGUAUGGUGCCAAGACAGAUGAGCUAUUGAGAAAGAUGGGGAUUGGAGGGAGGUGCUUGACCGUCUCUGAUGCAUUCCACUUGGCCUUCAAAGUUGUCAAAACACUGGGACACACAUCCAGCGAGGGAGGUCUACAGGCUGGCUAGGGUGUUCGAUCCUAGGCAGGCUCCAGCCAUGGAAAAGCAGAUUGAAGGCUACACACAACUGAAACCCAUGGCAAGCCCAUCAUCAGAGCUCAGUGAAAAAUGUGUCCAGGGAGCCCUCACCUGCUUUGGAGCUUGCUGAUUACUGGAGGGGCCUGAGUGUGAGAUUCCCAAGAGUUGCAGAAGUGGCAGUGGCCUACAUCUACUUCCCACUCAGCUCAGUUGACUGUGAGAGGAGUUUCAGCAAAUACAAGACUACUUACAGACAAGCGAGAAGCACUCACUGAGCUCAAAACAGAGGCUGACAAUCAUGUACUUCAAUGGAGAUGUCAGUGAUAGAUGGAAAACUUACAAUGGACAGACAUAGGAGCUCAUAAGGUAGUUCCAUAGGUUUUUCUUAUUGCUGCAUUGUUGCCUAGAUUCUUGCAUUACCUUUUCUUUAAUGAAACACUUAGAACUCUGUACUGAAGCACUUGCCUUUAUUUUUUUUUUAAAUAGUGCAAUGUUGUGUUGCAUCAUUACAAAGGUACUGUUAUCUUAUUUGAUGUUUUAUUCAUUCAUAUUACUAGACACGCUUUCUGAUGAUAAAAUUAGCAUAAAUCGUAAAACAUAGAAUUCAGAAACAUUUUCACAGAAAAAUUGAAUUUGAGAAAAAAUAUAAUGGAAUUUUGAAAAAAUAAAACGGAUUUCAUAGGGCCCUAGGAAGGGCUGUGAUUCUCUGGAUGAUGUCUUCAAUGGGAAAGCCUGUGAUGUGAAGGUGGUGGGGGGCACACCCUAACUGCAACCACAUGGGCCACGUGGCUACUACAUGCAGCUGCAAAUUGGUAUGUUUUGCACAAGACUGAGACAAAGUAAGGUGCUCAUUUGGACUCUGUCCCGGCAAGUUGUCAUCCCCGUUCCCUAUGAUGCACAGGUCUGUGCAGAGGCUGUCCUGAGGUUGAAGGCAUUCUACUCAACACAUGCUGUCAUUUAUUGUUAAGAAGCAUCAGGCAGGCAGCUUGUCACUGAGUGACAAAUAUAUGCAGCUCUGUACACGUAUGUAGUUAGAUGUCUCUCCUGUUUGCAGUUACUAUUAACACAUUGUUUUUCAAUUAAAAAGCCUGACUUAAUGCAUCAACAGUCACAGUAUUGUGAAAAUUGUUUUUAUGGCUUUGUUUUUUAUUAAUAUUAAUGAG